rnacentral:rRNA from 1 species
UCAAAUGAAUUGACGGGGGCCCGCACAAGCGGUGGAGCAUGUGGUUUAAUUCGAUGCAACGCGAAGAACCUUACCUGGUCUUGACAUCCACAGAACUUUCCAGAGAUGGACUGGUGCCUUCGGGAACCGUGAGACAGGUGCUGCAUGGCUGUCGUCAGCUCGUGUUGUGAAAUGUUGGGUUAAGUCCCGCAACGAGCGCAACCCUUAUCCUUUGUUGCCAGCGAUUAGGUCGGGAACUCA